rnacentral:rRNA from 1 species
ACGUGAUCUGAGUUCAGACCGGAGUAAUCCAGGUCAGUUUCUAUCUAUAAGGAGCUUUUUUUAGUACGAAAGGACCAAAAAAGCAUGGCCCCUGUUUUCAACAAGCCAUUUCUAUUAACUUAUGUCUAAAACUUAACUCUUACAUAGUCCCUCCCUCUGUUCAAGAAAAGAACA